GUCAACGCUGUAAACGAUGGGCACUAGGUGUGGGGGUGUCGACUCCCUCCGUGCCGAAGCUAACGCAUUAAGUGCCCCGCCUGGGGAGUACGGCCGCAAGGCUAAAACUCAAAGGAAUUGACGGGGGCCCGCACAAGCAGCGGAGCAUGUGGUUUAAUUCGACGCAACGCGAAGAACCUUACCUGGGCUUGACAUGUUCCUGAUCUCCCUGGAAACAGGGCUUCCCUUCGGGGCAGGAUCACAGGUGGUGCAUGGCUGUCGU
rnacentral:rRNA from 1 species